rnacentral:rRNA from 1 species
UACGGAGGGUGCAAGCGUUGCUCGGAAUUAUUGGGCGUAAAGGGCGCGUAGGCGGCUUUAUAAGUCGGGGGUGAAAGCCUGUGGCUCAACCACAGAAUUGCCUUCGAUACUGUAGAGCUUGAGACCGGAAGAGGUAAGUGGAACUGCGAGUGUAGAGGUGAAAUUCGUAGAUAUUCGCAAGAACACCAGUGGCGAAGGCGGCUUACUGGUCCGGUUCUGACGCUGAGGCGCGAAAGCGUGGGGAGCAAACAGG